UAGUAUCCAUCUGCAGACCCGCAGCACAGCCGUUUUAGAACCGCCGUUUCAGAACCGCUGUUUCAGAACCGGAAGUGAGGGGCGGAGCUAUUAACACCUAGAAAUGGCGGAGAGCACGAGACAUAUAACUAUUCAGAAUGGUGACGCAUUACCUGAGCUGCAGCAGUGCAACAAGUGUUGCAGCAAUUAUCACUGCCCUUUUUGCGCGGCCAGCGUGUUUAAGCCAGCCAAACUGGUCAAAUUAAAAACCCAUCUUCAAAGCCACUUUAACAAGGCAGUAGUCUGUGGAGGCUAUACUAUACACAGAUGUGGACUAGGAUGUAGACCAGCUCUACAUCACCACUGUCCAUACUGUGAAACAACAAUUUUAAAGAGAGGUGAUUUUGAAAAACAUGUACAGGUUUGCAAAAAAAACCCACCUCCAACUUCAGCCACAAUUCCAUCUCCAACCACUGCAGCAUUGACCACACCAGCUGUGAGAGGGACACCAUCUUCAACCACUGCAGUUCUGACCACACCAUCUCCAACCACUGCAGCAUUGACCACACCAGCUGUGAGAGGGACACCAUCUUCAACCACUGCAGUUCUGACCACACCAUCUCCAACCACUGCAGCAUUGACCACACCAGCUGUGAGAGGGACACCAUCUUCAACCACUGCAGUUCUGACCACACCAUCUCCAACCACUGCAGCAUUGACCACACCAGCUGUGAGAGGGACACCAUCUUCAACCACUGCAGUUCUGACCACACCAUCUCCAACCACUGCAGCAUUGACCACACCAGCUGUGAGAGGGACACCAUCUUCAACCACUGCAGUGCUGACCACACCAGCUGUGAGAGGGAAACCAUCUCCUACCACUGCAGUUCUGACCACACCAUCUCCAACCACUGCAGUGCUGACCACACCAGCUGUGAGAGGGAAACCAUCUCCUACCACUGCAGUUCUGACCACACCAUCUCCAACCACUGCAGUGCCAACUACACCAGCAGUCUUCUCAGGAAGGGUUUGUGUAAGGCCUGUGAUCAGAAAAAGAUGCCCAGUUUGCAAUAUCCUCAUUAAUAAAAGAAACCUAAAAAAGCACAUUGACCGCAAACACACAGAAGAGCCAAUACAGGACAUUAAUGCCACAUCCCAUCUUGAGAGCCAGUGCAUCGAUAGGACAAAUGGCAUAUUUACAGUUCUUAAAGUUACAAAGGGUCACAGUGUUCCUCUUCAUAUUCAGGUCAAGACAUGGGGAGAACAUCAUAAGGUCAUUUGUGAAUCACAUGAAUGUCAGGUCAGUAUGGAAGUUGCACAGAGAAGUGGCCUGUCAUCAUACCAAUGCAAACACAUCCGCUCUGUAAAUUACUGUGCAUCCUCUGCAGAACCAGUCUCCCUGAAAGAAGAGAUUUUAUCCGAGAUGGUGAAAGCAAAGUGGUUUAGUAAUGAAAAGAAGAAGAUUUGCCUUACUCGGCAGCAGCAUGCUAACAGCAGUAACAUACCACUCUCUGUUCAAACCUCGAUCGGCACCCCUGAAACAAAGAAGUUCAUUUCAGUAUUUGAACCCAGUGUCUCCUAUUACAGCAGGUUGGGGCGUGUAAUGGUUGUAUAUGACUCAAAAUUAAACACAUGGCAUUGUCCCUGUGCCAUAUUGAGGCGCUCAUGUGUGCACAAAUAUAUUGCAAAAUGGCACCUUUUUCAGACACAACGCGACUUGUUUCGAACAGUCUUCAGCAGAGAAGAAUCACCACGCAAAGAACCAUAUGCACAGUCUGAGAAGGAUUUCAGAGAAGACAAUCCUGUUUAUCCUCCAAAACAUCAAGGGUUAAAUAAUAUGGUAUGUUACAUUCUUCAGCACAAGAAGAUUCCUGUUGAUCUACCAGAUGAUGUGCGGGUACCAUCACCAGACAAAGAUUACCCAAAAAUCCUUUGUCCAGAUGAAUGUGUCUGUCAGAUUUGUCCAGGUGUUGUUCCCCUCAGUGAACCCAUCCUAAUUACGAAGAAGGCUAAAAUACUCACAAACUGGUCCAUAAUUGAAGAUGUUGCCAUUUACUGUAAGCAGUGCCCACUAUGUGGAAUGUUCUACCGUUAUCAGGAGUGGAAAGACCACCUACAUAACUUUGAUGACCACAACAUCCUUGCAAUACCCUUAUGCCUAACCUUGAGAAGCCUUCUUCAGGUGCAUACAUCGGUGAGCAGAGCAGUAAAUUAUUUGGAAGAUUUGACAGGUUUGAAGUUUCCGGCACCAGACACGGUUCUUCAUGCCUACUUGCAUUUUGAGGCCCUUGUGGAACAUGAGUACAGAUACUCAUGUAUUACCUGUGGUGACCAUCCCCCAGUGGUGAUAAUGGAUCUACACAAAAAGGGUGUUUUCCAUUUUUCUGCAAGUGACACAGAGGAACCUCCUGAAAACUUCCGAGGGGACGUCAAUAUAGAAACAUUCUGGGAGGCACUAUCCAAAGAAAUGAUAUGUCGUGGAUUUGUUGCAAGUGGUGCACAAAAUCCAUUUGCAGUUAAACCUACGUAUCACUUCUGGGCUCCUUGGAUUGGCAAGAGGACACGUCGUUCAGACAAUGUGCUAAACACAGAGUUUGAAAAAGUUCAUUCUUCAAAGUCUGCCUCAGAGACUGCAGAAAUUACGGUGACAGAGGAGAGGCUGAAAGAAGAACUUCAGAAGCAGAAGGUUAUUGUUAUUCGGAAACUAUGCAAAGAAUGUGGUCUGGACUCCACUGGCUCUCGGAGUGACCUCCUCCUCAGAUUGUCCAAUGAAAUGAAAUCGAGGCAAACAUAUGAUAAAAUCUUUGAAAAAAUCUGGGGUGCCUCUGGAGGCUGGGGAGUCAUCAUGUGCCCAUGUGGUGUAGUUUACAGUUUAAAAUGCAAUCUUCGAGCAGAAAGCCCUCGAGAUUUUGUUGAUCUUCUGUUCUCAUGGAAGCACAUGCCGAACAUUAUCAUUUAUGACUUUGCACGCGGUUUAGCAACACAUGCCAAUCUCAGGGCACCAGAAAGCAUUCCUAUUCAUCCACAUGAGGGACGCUUGGCAGAACCCACUCAAGAAAACAUAACACUUGCCAGAUCUGGAAAUCUGAAAGUGUCCUUGCCUUGGCUGGAGGAAAAAAAGAGUGCAAGUGAUCCUCAAGGACACCCACUGACAGGAUCUUCUGAUCAUUACAUAUUAUCUGACCGUUUUCACGAGAACAAUACCAAAGACAGUAGAGAUGUUCUGAGGAAGAUCACUAUAGUGCCUCAACUAGCUGGCAAAAUAAAUAGCCAGGUUGCAGAGCAACUGUUCUCAAAGAUGAGAAAAAAUAACUACUUCUUGAACAUGUCUCAGCCAUCAACACACCUCUUUCAAAUGAGGACCAUAAUUCACCACUAUAACGAAAACAAGAACAACAAAGUGAGGACUAGAUUAAUGAAGACAUUUGGAUCAAAGUUGGUGAUGAAUAUGCAUGGACAGGCUGUGCUGGAAAAUUCGGACAUCUCUAUAGACGAGCUAGUCCCCACAGACAUUGAGAUGGAGCAUGUUACCCCGACAUCAAUGACGGUCCCAACCAGUACAGAAACUGAAAUGGUGUGUAAUUAUAAAUGCCUCUCUGCCAGUAGAGAUUGUUGGGAUUGUGUGCCAACUCAUAGGCAAUCAGUAAUGCUUGAAUGGGCUUUGGGGACAGGCGACCAAGAUGAGACAAUUGCUGAAGUUGGAAACGUGGUUCUGAAAAGAAAAGAUUUCUGGACUCUCGGUCUCAAUGAGCAGUUGGAGGCAACAAUUGCAAACAGCUGUCUUGAAGUAAUUACUUUGGUCUCUAUGGAACGACAAGAUGACAGCCAAAAUUGCACCUGGAACAUGGAUGCUAAUAAAAAACAAGGAUAUCCCCCAACAGAUUGGUGGUGUGGACUGUGGAGUCUUCCUGUUGAUGUAUGCUCUACAUCUUGCCUUGGGAGCACCCUUUGAUUUUACAUCUUGUGACAUGCCAAAGAUUCGGAGAUGGUGGACUCUAAUUCUUUUAGAGAACUUUGGGGUUUUCUCUGAAAGUGCAGAUACCCUUCAAGAGGCUCUUCCACACAGAGAACCAGCUGAGCUUAGCAGCAGUGAGGAGCUACCAGUAAUCCGAGACAUGGCAGAAGCUGUGAAAUGGAUUGAUUCCAAUAACCAUCUGCUCAGAGGGCCGGUGAAAGAGCCUCUUUUCCUCACCAUGACUGAGGAGGAAAAGGAAAAGGCCCUCAAUGAUCUCAGUGAAAGCACAGACUCUUCGAGGGAGCCCUUUACGUUUCUUUUUCAGUUCAGGGAUGACAUGGAAUUAGUUAUACAAGAAUGUCAUGACAAA